CCCAGAAUGAAUUUUGGUUCCAUCACUCCCCAUCUGUGUGACCUUAUGCAAGCUAUUUAACAUUUAUGCAUUUUAUGAAUGAAAAUAAAUUUUAGUCUCUUCAAGAUACAAAGAUGAAAGGGAAAAAUAUGAAAUUCAUGUUGAAGAAUACCUGGCAUCUAAAUUCUCAAUUAAUGAUAGCUAUUAUUACUAGUAUUAUCCUUUUUGUUGGGGCACUACUGACUUCCCAAGGUUUCUAGCUUCUGCUCAAGUCUGCCUACCUUCCUCAUUCUUGGUAUCUAAUCAGUUACUGACUUUACCAUCUAAGCAUUUCCUUAAUUUCUGGUUCUAUUCCCUUAAUUUAAACCUCAUGAGAUAUUUUCUGGACUACUGACACAGUCUCUCAAAGGAUCUCUUGCAUUCCAGAUGCAUCUCCCUCAAAUCCAUUUUGAACCCAGCCUCCAGAGUGACUAACUUAAAAGUCAAAUAUGAUACUAUCACACUCAAGCUUAAAACUCUCGGAUGACAUCCAUGUCCAAGUACCCAAGUUUCUGAUCUUCAGACACUGUUUGGGUUCUAGGGUGGAAGCCAAUGACACAGAGGAUACUGGCAGAACAGAGCCAUUGCCCAUGCUUUGGAAUCUAGAUCAUAU
rnacentral:lncRNA from 1 species